AAUAAGCUAGUAAGCCUUUUAUUGUAAUGGUUGGACAUUUGGAUGGAGUUGGAAUAUAUUGCGAUUAGAUGCAUAUAUGGAUGUAUUGGAAUUUAUUUUAUGUGGAUUGGCAUUUGAAAUUUGGUUUUAGAUCCUCUUGUUGGGUGAUAUUCAUGACGGUUUCGACUCUCAUGAAAAUAAAAUUUUGUGCUGUUGUCUAAUUUUCGUGACGGUUUCAACUCUUAGGAAAACAUGUGUUUGUGAUGGUCUGAACACCAUUUUUGUGGCAGUGUGCUCUCAUGAAAUAGUAUAUUUCCUGUGACUUAUUGGAACACUCACGAAAUAUUUUUGUGGCCGUGUGCUCUCACGAAAUACUAUAUUU
rnacentral:lncRNA from 1 species